GCUCUCUGCCACCAAGGAACUCCUUUUCCCCAAGGGAGAUGAUGCCUGGAGCUGUGAAACAAAUCCUGAGCCACCGGAUGAGUGUAGACUUGAGACUCCAGAGUUUGGGAUCCUCGUCCAGAUCAUGCCACUGCUUACCAAGUAGGGUCCUGCCUACCAUAAUCCAGGAAGUGGUCUUCCAGACAUUAAAUAGGAUCAUGAAAUCAAUGGUGUGAGCCUUCACAAGAAACCAAAAUCAUGGUAUUCUGAAGACCAGAGAUAGGAAUCUCCCUCAUUUGACAUCCACUGGGUCUGGAUCUGUUUCACUGCUAAUGCUUUGCUGCCAGAACUAUACAAGCUGCCUCCCUCUAGGUCCAGGGACUAUCACAGAAAGGGCGGGCAUGUACAGUUUGUAAGGGCGGGCAUGUACAAUUUGUAAGGGCGGGCAUGUACAAUUUGUAAGGGCCAGUUUCGAGGGAUAAAAUUAGGACAAGAUCAAACCCUCCAAAUCAAAAAGGAGGUCCAAAAAAAAAUGCCUAAACAGCUGGUAAAACAAGUUUGCUUGUCUUCUAAACUGUUAUGUGUCACUUUUGCAUCCAUCCCAACCAUAAAAUUUCGCUAUAAAAUUAAAGAAAAACAUUUACUAACAGGAUAAAAUACCUUACCACAAAGCUUCCUGGGUAUAAUACUCCCAAUGAUAACUGGUAAAAAUAAACCUAUCUAUCCAUAUAUAUAUUUUUAAUUUUUCAGAGCAGUGCUUAUGUUUUGUAUAGCUAAUUGCUGUAAGUCUGUAACAAAAACCAAACUCACAGCAGCUCAACACAUAGAAGUUAAAAAUAAGUCAGUCUUGCAACUUUGCCUUUUGGUUUUUCUGCUGGCCUUUUUACUUAAAAUAAUAAUUUUAAAAAGUAACAAAUGGCUGUCCACAACCCUUCCUAUCUGGCCUAGAACAAUUAAUUGGCUAUAAGUCUUUUAACUCUUAUGGUCCUCAGCCAUAGGUAGUCCUGCCAAGGAAAAAAAUAACACUGUAGAAUUAUAUAACUUCCCCUGUGACAAAACCUUUUCCCUCCAAAUACCAGUAUAUGGUGCAAUACAAAAGUCGGUUGGUGGGGGUGGUGGGCGGGAAAUAGAUUUGUCUACUGUUAACAAGUCUAUCACAAUUUAAACACUGAGGACCAGGUGUUUCUGGUAUUUAAUUUAUGUUAUAUGCAUAGGAUGCUAUACCUAUGGAAACACAUCGGCUAGAAAAGAGAUUAAAUUUAUUAAAUUCUAAUUUAAUGUUUGUCCCACAAUUCUCAAGUAAGAUUUCUCACAAGGUCCAAAUAACCCUUAAUAAGGAAGGUAAACACAUUGUGAGUUUGAUCAAAAAUAUGAUGAUGCAUGUGGGGUUUUCUGGCUGAUUGGGUUGGUUACUAUCCUCUGAUUCUAACUACAACCUUGGACGCCCAAACCUUCUCUAUCUUUAUAAUAUUUGUUACUAUAUUAACAUUAGACAUUUUCUUGCAAAUAUUAUGCCAGGUACAGCAAAAGGAAAGACACAAUUAAAAACCUGGAUCAUAAUAACUCAGAAAAUAGAUCUGAUCCGGGAUGGUUUUUUUUUUAGACUAAACCCUAGGCCUGACUCCAUCUCACUCGGUAAACAAUUGGCUAUUGCAUCAGGUCAGACCAUGUCCUCCCCCCAUUAUCCAAAUCGCUAAUAUUUAAAACUGCCAUCAACCAGACUACACUAGGAAUAAGCCUUCCUAGCACCGUGGGACCUCACCAAAUGACCAGAUCAGACAACUCUAGGAAUAAGCGCUCCUAGAGCCAUGGAAUCUGCCGCUGUUGGCCUGCAUAUGCUUUCUGUGAAUGCUUUUUGGCCAAGAGGGAGGACUGAAGACUAAACUCUGAUUUUUUACCUUACCCAAAUUCCUUUCUAAGAGGUCUGGGGAGUCACGCCCUAAAAACCAGAAAUUUUUAUCAAAUGGAUUUUAUUUAAUCCUGUAUCUCGUGACUUUCCAAUCUGACUCUGGCAUAACAAGGAGGAAAAUCAAAAUGUUUUACCCCAAAAUAUAUUUCCUUGCUAUACCUUGAAAUUGCCCUGCAAAGUCUCUUGUGGGAAAAAACCACAUUCUGUAGAGAAUCCCCUUUCCCCUUGGUUUUCCUUCCUUCCUUCCUUCCCAAAUCCAGGAGAUAAUCAACUAAGAGCCAGGUGCCCUUUUAAGUCUGAUAUAAAACAAUUUACCACCUGCUCUCUCUAAAGUCUGGUAAGAACUUCAUCUGCACAAUAAAACUUGGUCUCCACAAUCCUUUAUCUUUAACAUGAACAUUCUUUCUAUCAAUCCCAGGUGUUCAGAUAACCUCAACCAAUUGUCAACCAGAAAAUGUUUAAAUUUUCCUAUAGCCUGGAAGCCCCUGCUUUGAGUUGUCCGCCUUUCUAAACCAAACCAAUGUAUUUCUUAAAUGUAUUUGAUUGCUCCCUAAAAAUAUGCCUCCCUAAAAUACAUAAAACCAAGCUGUACCCCAACCACCUCAGACACAUGUUCUCAGGACCUCCUGAGGGCUGUGUCACAGGCCAUGGUCACUCCUAUUUGGCUCAGAAUAAAUCUCUUCAAAUAUUUUACAGAGUUUGACUCUUUUCAUCAACAUUAUGUAAACUCUCCAGACUAUCUUCUCAAUGUUUUUCCUGUAAAUAUAAAACUGCUCUAAAAAAUACAGCCCAUUAAAAAAGCAUGGUUCCUGAUUUCAUGGAGUUUGUAAAAUGAGAAGGAAAUUUAUUUUAUAGGAGUUUUUGAGGUCUAAUGAAAAGCUUGUAAGUGAUUUUAUACAAGGUUAGUGCAUAGUGCAUGAGACCUGAUCAAUAAAAUUUGUUUUCCUCUUUGUUG